rnacentral:RNase_P_RNA from 1 species
CGGGGCCAGAUCGUCGCUCCGGGGUUCUUUGUAUCCCAAGGCGCGGUUAAUCGCCGCGCCCGAUAAGAUUAAAACUCCCGGAGAGGAAAGUCCGGACACCAUCGGGCAGGAUGCCGUGCGAGCUUCACCGCAAGCAUGGGCGGCCGGCGUUAAGGCCGGUCGACGGAUAGUGUCACAGAGAAUAAACCGCCUCGGAUUUCGGUCCAGGGUAAGGGUGAAAAGGUGGGGUAAGAGCCCACCGCGCCGACUGCGAAGUUGGUGGCAGGAUAAACCCCUUCCGGUGCAAGGCAAAAUAGGCGACUGGCCGGCCCGGCUUUAAGUCGCGGGUAUGUCGCAUCCUCCUUCGCUCAAAUUGCUCUGCAAUUUGAGCUUCGGCGGACUUGCCCACCUUUAGGGGUGGGCUUGAGAUAAAUGACGGUCGAAGUGUCUUCGGACACGGAACAAAAUCCGGCUUAUCGGCCCCGGAAC